rnacentral:rRNA from 1 species
AGAGAGAGACAUGCGCGCAUAUCAAUAAGCGGAGGAAAAGAAACUAACUAGGAUUCCCUUAGUAACGGCGAGUGAAGCGGGAAGAGCUCAAAUUUGAAAUCUUCAAGGUUCUACCUUGACGAAUUGUAGUUUAUAAGAAGUGUUUUCUGUUGGUGUUUUGGCUAAAAGUUCUUUGGAAUAGGACAUCAUAGAGGGUGAGAAUCCCGUAUUUGGUACAUUCUCCUAGCUGUUGUGAUACACUUUCAACGAGUCGGAUUGUUUGGGAAUGCAGUCCAGGAUGGGUGGUAAAUUUCAUCUAAAGCUAAAUAUUGGCGAGAGACCGAUAGCGAACAAGUACCGUGAGGGAAAGAUGAAAGAACUUUGAGAAGAGAGUUAAACAGUACGUGAAAUUGUCAAAAGGGAAGCGUUUGACACCAGUGUUGUUUAGUUGAAAAUCAAUUCAAUAGUUUUUGAUUCUAAGUAGUAUUGACUUCAUCAGCUUGCUGCUUUCUUCUCAGAAAUUAUUGAAUGCACUUUUCAGUUAACAAGUCAACAUCAAUUUCUUUUGUUGUAAAAGGGUAAGAGGAAGGUGGCUUGCGCUUCGGCUCAAGUGUUUAUAGCCUUUUAUCUCUGCAAUCGGAGAGAUUGAGGUCUGCAGCGUAGAUCCUUCGGGGUUAGAUACAUUGGUGCUAAGCUAUAGCCUUGUAUAGACAACUUGUUGACUAUGCUCAGUCAUGUAGCUUACUCGCUGAUGCUAUUUUACCUACGCUUAGGAUGUUGAUAGUCACAGCGUGUAC